CUUUCGUUCCAAAUAAUUUUCCCUCUAUUUAAACCUUUUGCAGGCAUUGAAUAAGCCUGGGGUUUAACCAGAACAUCAGAAGAUUAGUCUGAAGUCAGAAUCCUCCUCACUUUGCUUUUGGGUUGCUUUAUGUACUUUAGAAUUCUAGUUCUUAAACGCUCUCUGCAAUAUAAUGGUUCCUACCAUAACAUGCGAAUAUCAGAUGAACUUCAAUGAAGUAAUUAAUCCUGAUGCUAUUAUUACUAUCUUUCUCGAACAAGGCACUGAUUCUAUCCUUGUCAAGCCAUUCAUUGUACGUUUGUGUUCUGUGCCCGUUUGAACGCUUAACCAGACAACUUCAGGACAAGACAUUUGGGGAUCCAGCCAGUGACAUAUAAUUCAACUAUCGAUAUAUUCACGCAGAAUAUUCUAUUGCAAAGAAUUAUGUGCAUGUAAAGAGAAUGCGACAUUAAAUAGCAGCAGAACAUAAAAGUGUUGUAACGGUCUGAAACCAACGAAACAAACAAACAACUGAAGACAACAUCAAACAGAUGGACGAAGCAUUACACCAGAAACUGUUUUCAAAACAGUUCGUUUCAACACCCAUUUCAAAUAUUUACAGAUACCCAAACUGAAUAAUCAACUGCAUUAAUUUGAUCAAUAUGGAAGGCUUGCGAGUGUUGUUAAUAAACUUCUUGACUCUUGAAUAAAACCAUUGAAAAUAUCAAAA
rnacentral:lncRNA from 1 species